UACGUAGGGGGCAAGCGUUGUCCGGAAUCAUUGGGCGUAAAGGGCGCGUAGGUGGCCCGGUCAGUUCGUGGUGAAAGCGCGGGGCUCAACCCUGCGUCGGCCAUGAAUACUGCCGCGGCUGGAGCACUGUAGAGGCAGGCGGAAUUCCUGGUGUAGCGGUGAAAUGCGUAGAGAUCAGGAAGAACACCGGUGGCGAAAGCGCUCUGCUAGGCCGCAACUGACACUGAGGGACGAAAGCUAGGGGAGCGAAUGGG
rnacentral:rRNA from 1 species